AGAUUGAACGCUGGCGGCAUGCCUAACACAUGCAAGUCGAACGGGAGUAGCAAUACUCUAGUGGCGGACGGGUGAGGAAUACGUAGGAAUUUGCCCUUAAGUGGGGGAUAACCCGGGGAAACCCGGAUUAAUACCGCAUGACCUCGAAAGAGCAAAGUGGGGGAUCGCAAGACCUCACGCUUUUGGAGAAGCCUACGUCGGAUUAGCUAGUUGGUGAGGUAAUGGCUCACCAAGGCGACGAUCCGUAACUGGUCUGAGAGGAUGAUCAGUCACACCGGAACUGAGACACGGUCCGGACUCCUACGGGAGGCAGCAGGUGGGGAAUAUUGGGACAAGUGGGG
rnacentral:rRNA from 1 species